AGCUUCAUUUGCUUCUGUUCCAGAAUUCGACAAAAAAACACGGUCUGCAAAAGAAUUAGCAACCAGGCGUUUUGCAAGCUCCAGCUGAGGGAGAGUAUAGUAAAGAUUGCUGACAUGAGUUAAGACAUUAGCUUGUUCAGUAACUGCCCUAAUCCAAUCAGAAUCACCAUGUCCAAGUGCAUUCACAGCUAUACCAGAGGUCAAAUCCAAAUACUCUCGCCCUUCAAUAUCGUACAAUUUACACCCUUUGCCACUCGACAAAACCAAUGGAGCCCUAGCAUAUGUACCCACAAAAACCUUGUUAGAUUCAUCCAUCACCUCUUUGCUCAAAUCCGGUGCCUGCACUUCCACAUUAAGGCUAGCGGCAAUUCUAACUCCGCCGCCGCCGCCGCCGCUGCCAUACCUAACAUUGUUGAAUAAACGGCGGAGAUGGGUAGAACCCGAAACCGAUGAAAAGGAGUUGGUGAGGAAAAAGGUUGAUGAAG
rnacentral:misc_RNA from 1 species